rnacentral:lncRNA from 1 species
UUACAUCAUUUCAUUUAAGCAAGAUAGAACCUAACUUUUGUUCUAUAUAAUGUGAAGUUUUAGCAUCUCUGAAAGGUGAGAAAGAAGUGCUUUAGUUCUCCACAUAGAGAGAAAUAAGUUCCCAAACUCUAGGCUAAGCAAUGGCUAGUUAUGGCUACCCCUCUAAAGCCUACCCUGCUUACAAUGAUUUAACACCAUGGGUAAAUUAUGGGGACAAAAUCAGAUAUGCCCCCGAUCAUGUUUGCAAGCCAGUCGUUGUUGAUGCUGAUGGGAGGAAACAUCCGGUCGUUUCUUACACUCCCAGCAAUAGCGCAGAAACCCGUGUUAUAGAAACUCAAACCAUUGUGAUGCAGGAGGUCCGUUCACCUGUUGUCAAUGGCAACACUGGUUAUGGACAUGUUAAAGAUACACCUUUUGUCAAUGGAUACAAACAUAGUUCUCCCGAGCAUGGGCAUGGCAAUCCUGGUUAUGGACAUGUUGAUGAUAAGUGGUAUAGGUCUUCAAAUCCAGAUCCUGGCCGGGAUAAGUGGUAUAGGUCUUCAAGUCCAGAUGAUGGCCGCGAUAAGUGGAAUAGGUCUUCAAGUCCAGAUGAUGGCCGCGAUAAGUGGCAGAGGUCUUCAAGUCCAGAUCAUCAUGGCCGCCCUCAUAAGGUUAAGGAGUUUCUCACCAAGGUGCAAACUGAAGCUAGUUUACCGAAGAGGUUUGGUCUUUUGAGUCCUUCAGUUUGGCGCCGGUCUCCUGAUUCCACAGGCCAUCAUGGGCAUGGGCCUGGGAAUGGCAAUACCGGCUAUGGUGAUUACAGUGACAAGAGCAGCAAGGACGGGCACAAGCCGAGUGUUCGUAAUGGGGAUUAUGAUAACUACUACCACAACAAUGGUAGCAGGACGGAACCGACUGUGACCAAUUCUGGUGGAUGGACAAGGCCAACUCGUGCAGGAUGGGGUGUACCACCUGAUGCCUCACUUUCCAGUCCAACAAACGAUAUCAACACAGCUGUGAGGUACUUGCAGGAAGGUGCCAGACCUACUUCAGUCACCACUGCUCCGCAGUCUCGCGUCACUGUACCGAUCACAACAGGACCUAGACGAGAUGACUAUGGUCAAACUAUCGACAGCAGAGAGGCUGCAAGGCGGUAUGGCAACCUCGGUUCAUCGCCUGUGCCCGAAGAGAGGUACACAGGGACUAUUGACAGCAGGGAGGCUGCGAGAAAGUACAGGGGCACAACCGUGUGACAGCAACAAUUGUGCAUGGCAUAAUAGUAUUAAGCUCUGGCAUGUGAGUCCAUAUAGUGUUUCCUUGGAUGACCCUUUGUUACUGUCUGUCUGGGUGCGUUUUCUAUUUUGUUUUUCGCUUCCUUGUUGCUUUCUGGGACCAAUAGGUAAGUUGUCAUAAUCGCGUGUUUGUGAUAUCAGUAGUAAAAUAAGCUUUCAUUAUGAAGCACUUUGCAAUAAAUUGAUGGAGCAUAUUUUUUUUUUCAACAAUGAUACAAGUGAAUAACAAUUCAUUUACUUUUAACCUCUUCACUGAGUGAGUGGAGAUACAGUGCUUUAUUAAGGUCAUCUACAGCUAUAAUAACAGGUCCAAUUGCUUUUUAUAAAUGAAAUGCAAA